CACGUAGGGACCAAGCGUUGUCCGGAUUUAUUGGGCGUAAAGAGCUCGUAGGCGGCUUAGUAAGUCGGGUGUGAAACCUCCAGGCUCAACCUGGAGACGCCACCCGAUACUGCUGUGGCUAGAGUCCGGUAGGGGAGCGUGGAAUUCCUGGUGUAGCGGUGAAAUGCGCAGAUAUCAGGAGGAACACCAGCGGCGAAGGCGGCGCUCUGGGCCGGUACUGACGCUGAGGAGCGAAAGCGUGGGGAGCAAACAGG
rnacentral:rRNA from 1 species